CUUCUCUCUCUCCACGACGAGCAUUAGGUUUAGGAUCCCCAACUCCCCCAAUUCUCUUCGGUUCCGGAUUCCCGAUCUCCACGGAAUCUCAAUUCCCUAAGCAAUUCCGGUUCUUCAAAUCUUCUCCCUUAUAUACAAUUCUAGGGUUCCGCCAAUCCUGAUUUGUUUCGAAUAUAGUAGAUGCUGUGAUGGUGUGCUCGGAGAGAUUGAGUGCCACGCUGCCGCCGCCGCAGGCUGUGGUUGCCAAGCAAUUCGGGGUCACGAAGCCGAUUUCGAUGGCCGGGCCCACAGAGGCCGAUACUCAGAGGACUCUUGAGUUGGAGAAGAUGUUGGUUGAAGCUGGGUCUGUAUGAAAGUAAAGAGGAAGCUGCCAAGAGAGAGGAGGUUCUUCGACGAAUCGGGCAGAUUGUUAAUGACUGGGUGAAGCACCUUACUCAGUUGAGAGGAUACACGGAUCAAAUGGUUGAGGAUGCUAAUGCUCUUAUUUUUACAUUUGGUUCCUAUAGGCUUGGGGUACACGGUCCUGGGGCCGACAUAGACACAUUGUGUGUUGGGCCAUGUUAUGUUAACCGUGAGGAAGACUUCUUCUUUGUAUUGCACAACAUCCUGGCUGAAAUGGAAGAAGUGACUGAACUGCAACCAGUUCCAGAUGCUCAUGUUCCUGUAAUGAAGUUUAAGUUCGAUGGAAUAUCAAUCGACCUCCUUUAUGCAAGUGUUUCUAUGUUAGUUGUACCAGAAGACCUGGACAUUUCUGAUGUAUCUCUGUUGUGCAACAUCGAUGAACCUACUGUUCGAAGUCUUAAUGGCUGCAGGGUUGCUGAUCAAAUACUUAAGCUUGUUCCAAAUGUUGAGCAUUUCUGUACAACACUUCGUUGCUUGAAGUUUUGGGCGAAAAGGCGUGGUGUCUAUUCCAAUGUUACUGGAUUUCUUGGUGGUGUGAACUGGGCUCUUCUCGUUGCCCGGGUGUGUCAACUUUAUCCUAAUGCAGUUCCCAGCAUGCUGGUUUCUCGAUUUUUUAGAGUCUACACACAGUGGCGAUGGCCAAAUCCUGUCAUGUUAUGUGCCAUUGAAGAGGAUGAACUUGGUUUAAUUGUUUGGGACCCACGCAAGAAUCCUCGUGACCGGACUCAUCAUAUGCCAAUUAUAACUCCUGCAUACCCUUGUAUGAACUCUAGUUACAAUGUUUCUAAAAGUACCCUCCGUGUCAUGAUGGAGCAGUUUCAGCAUGGGAACAGGAAAUGUGAGGAAAUAGAACUGAAUAAAGCUAGGUGGUCUGCUCUAUUCAAACCGUAUUUGUUCUUUGAAAGCUACAAGAACUAUCUCCAGGUCGACAUUGUUGCAGUUGAUGUUGAUGAUCUGCGUGCCUGGAAAGGCUGGGUGGAAUCUCGGUUGAGGCAAUUGACUCUAAUGAUUGAGCGGGAUACCAUGGAGAUGUUACAAUGCCACCCAUAUCCUCAUGAGUAUGUUGAUACGACCAAACAGUGUGCACAUAGUGCUUUCUUUAUCGGUCUGCAGAGGAAGCAGGGUGAAAAGGUUGAGGGUGAGCAGUUCAAUAUAGGAGGGACUGUUCAUGAGUUCAGGCAGUCCAUUGAGAUGUACAAUUUUUGGAAGCCUGGGAUGAAAAUUUAUGUUUCACACGUUCGUAGAAAGCACCUACCCUCCUACUUGUUUCCUGAUGGUUGUAAACAGCCUAGACCAACUAGAGUGGUGGCCCAGCAGCAUGAUAAUGAUGUUAAUCCAACUGGCCCUGGUGAGAGACACCUGAAGAGGAAGAACGAUCUUGGUGGGGGUUCACCACCAAAACGACUAUCUAUUAGCCCUCAGAGACAGGAUUCAGUAUCUCCUGAAAUUAUUACGCACAAUGCGGGAAGUGCAUCUCCAUACUCCAGCAGUAAUAGUGCUUUAUGCGAGGCAGAUGGCGAAAAUGGCCACCUUUUACCUAAUGGAUUGCAAGAUGGAUUAGAGUUAAAUGCUGCAUUUGGGAUGGUACUCCAUCCUAGCGAGUAAGAUCAGAAGGUGUGCAGAAAGCAGUGAUGAGGUUGGUGGCCUGAGCAACUCUGUCUUGUGUUGAUCUGGCUAUGAAAUUUGGGGGACUUAAUUGGGAAAGGAAGAAAGCCAGCAGCUCGGGUAAGUGUUAUUUGUAUUGCUGGCUUUCAUCUCAUUCUUUUUCAGGCAUGCUCGUCUAUCUGACCUUGCACAUUUAAAUCAAGCACUUCAAACUGAGGACGAUGGCUCAAGUAUAAUUUCUUAACGGCUUUGGAAUGAUUUUGAUAUGGUUAAGUUUCGAGCUCUGGGUACUCUCUAAACUACUGAUUCUGGUGGGUUUUGACCAGAUCCAUGAGAAAAGAAGAAAAGAGAAGGAAAAAAAAAAAAUAACCCCCGUGUCUUCCUUUCUGAAGUGGAGUGUGUGCCUCUGUAAUGUUCUUGUUGUAGUAGGCUGGUUAGGUUUUGUUUAGGGUGAGUGCGGGUAUUGCUGAGGGUGUAUAUAUCCUCGAUGACUUCUUUGUACAUUAUAUGCUUUGUAAUGGUAAAAUAUUGAAUAUCUUGGGUCUUCUCGUUCAUCUCUUCCAUUACUUCAUUUACUUGGUCCUUUGCACAGCAUUAGUAGUUGAUCCAGUUGAGCUCAUUGCUUUACAAAUCUAAUUAUCCCGAGCGUAUCACUGUUACAUUAUAAAUUAACAAAAGCUUAUCAUUAUGUUU